AGAGUUUGAUCAUGGCUCAGAACGAACGUUGGCGGCGUGCUUAACACAUGCAAGUCGAACGAGAAAGUUUCCUUCGGGAAGCGAGUAAAGUGGCGCACGGGUGAGUAACGCGUAGAUAACCUGUCCAGAUGUCCGGGAUAGCCCAUCGAAAGGCGGAUUAAUACCGGGUAUCUUGUUUUAACCUAAGUUGAACCAAGAAAGGUGGCCUCUAUUUAUAAGCUAUCGCAUUUGGAGGGGUCUGCGUACCAUUAGUUUGUUGGUGGGGUAACGGCCUACCAAGACUACGAUGGUUAGCGGGUCCGAGAGGAUGAUCCGUCACACUGGCACUGAAACACGGGCCAGACUCCUACGGGAGGCAGCAGUGAGGAAUAUUGCGCAAUGGGGGAAACCCUGACGCAGCGACGCCGCGUGAGUGAGGAAGGCCUUCGGGUCGUAAAGCUCUGUCAGAAGGGAAGAAAUGGUUAUAGGUUAAUACCCUGUAUUCUUGACGGUACCUUCAAAGGAAGCACCGGCUAACUCCGUGCCAGCAGCCGCGGUAAUACGGAGGGUGCAAACGUUGUUCGGGAUCACUGGGCGUAAAGGGCAC
rnacentral:rRNA from 1 species